rnacentral:rRNA from 1 species
UGGGGAAUUUUGGACAAUGGGGGAAACCCUGAUCCAGCCAUCCCGCGUGUGCGAUGAAGGCCUUCGGGUUGUAAAGCACUUUUGGCAGGAAAGAAACGUCGCGGGUUAAUACCCCGCGAAACUGACGGUACCUGCAGAAUAAGCACCGGCUAACUACGUGCCAGCAGCCGCGGUAAUACGUAGGGUGCAAGCGUUAAUCGGAAUUACUGGGCGUAAAGCGUGCGCAGGCGGUUCGGAAAGAAAGAUGUGAAAUCCCAGAGCUUAACUUUGGAACUGCAUUUUUAACUACCGGGCUAGAGUGUGUCAGAGGGAGGUGGAAUUCCGCGUGUAGCAGUGAAAUGCGUAGAUAUGCGGGGGAACACCGAUGGCGAAGGCAGCCUCCUGGGAUAACACUGACGCUCAUGCACGAAAGCGUGGGGAGCAAACAGGAUUAGAUACCCUGGUAGUCCACGCCCUAAACGAUGUCAACUAGCUGUUGGGGCCUUCGGGCCUUGGUAGCGCAGCUAACGCGUGAAGUUGACCGCCUGGGGAGUACGGUCGCAAGAUUAAAACUU